rfam:Lingula anatina scaffold136, whole genome shotgun sequence.
GGCCCGUUGGUGAAGUGGUUAACACACUGGUUUUUCACACCAGCAUUCAGGAGUUCGAGUCUCCUACGGGUCA